CCUACGGGGGGCUGCAGUGAGGAAUAUUGGUCAAUGGACGAGAGUCUGAACCAGCCAAGUAGCGUGAAGGAUGACUGCCCUAUGGGUUGUAAACUUCUUUUAUAAAGGAAUAAAACGAGGCACGUGUGCCUUUUUGCAUGUACUUUAUGAAUAAGGAUCGGCUAACUCCGUGCCAGCAGCCGCGGUAAUACGGAGGAUCCGAGCGUUAUCCGGAUUUAUUUGGUUUAAAGGGAGCGUAGAUGGGUUGUUAAGUCAGUUGUGAAAGUUUGCGGCUUAACCGUAAAAUUGCAAUUGAUACUGGCAGUCUUGAGUACAGUUGAGGUAGGCGGAAUUCGUGGUGUAGCGGUGAAAUGCUUAGAUAUCACGAAGAACCCCGAUUGCGAAGGCAGCUUACUAAACUGUGACUGACAUUGAUGCUCGAAAGUGUGGGUAUCAAACAGGAUUAGAUACCCGGGUAGUC
rnacentral:rRNA from 1 species